rnacentral:lncRNA from 1 species
CUCCAACUGUCUCCAUCAUCAGACACACCCCCUGGCCCUGGCCACUGGGAGGUGCCCCAGAGACAGCAGGUGGGGCUUCUGCUCUCUAAAUACAGGAGGCCCUUUCAGCUUCUGCUCUAAGCUCCUUUUAAACCACCACUGGAGAUUGGAAAAAUCAAAACUUCACAGCAGUGAUAAGAGCACUGAAAAGAAGCAGAUUUCCUGAGUCUUGAAAGGAAGGGGAAUUGGAAGAUAAUAUUUUUCUCACUGCUGUGCCUGUGUUUUCUUAGGCCCAGCUAAAUCCAAGGCGGUCUCUCCCAGGCCUAGGCUCUCCGGAGGACUGCGCGCAGGCAGCUGCCGAGGGAACAAGGGAACUUGCUGCCCAAAAUGUGUAGCUGCGAGUCCAAGAAAAGGACACAAAAUCCUCAGGAAGAAGGGAACAUGGGGAUGAGGCCCAGGCUGUACUGGAGCAGGGAUUGCAAUUGCCAGACAGUCCAGAUUACUCAGUGUAUUUAAUGCUGCCCUUCCUCAAUUCCACCCAAAGCUCACAUGGCGACACGAAGGGCAUUGGUGAGGAAACCAGCGAGGAGUCUGCAUGAGCCUGAGAUGUUGCUAAGCUCUCUGAUAUCUGCGGUGAGAGUGUCUACGCGAAGAUUACCCAUGCUGGGCUCCAGCGUUUCAACCCUAACCCCACAAUGAGCGCCUGGUCACUCUGUGGUCUAAACUCUGAGAGAAGAGAGCAUUCCAUACUAUACUACAUUUCGUACACAAUUAUUUGAUACAUGGAAGAAACCAUAAAUAUUAUUUAUCUUACCAUGGGCCUCAGAAUGUCCAAACACCACAGCUAAUUAGGGUUCAAUAAUAGAUUCAAUAAGCUGAAGCCUGUUUUUCUGGUUUAUCAAAACAAGUAAAGCAAUGGCCAUUACAUUCUAAUUUGUAAGCAUUUUGUUUGAUGGCUUUGAGUAGAAAGUACUUAGCUUUGCCUGUCCUAUAGGAGGUCCAGCCACCAUCUAAAGUCAGCACUAAACUAUAUCUGUUGCCAUUUACGAUACUUUUUUCCAUUUGUGGAAACAAGUUAUUUGUUAUAACCAAACAUAUAUUCAAAUACAGACGGAGCUUUUGCUAAAAGAUUAGAAAGUCAAUAUUUCCUAAUUGGCAAGGAGAAGGAUUUGGUCAAAGCCAAUGAGAAUUUCUUCUAUGAUCAGUCUUUCCCCAGGAGCUGGCUCCUGUGAAGAUUAUAACUCACCUGCUGCAGAUGCGAGUAAAGUUGACACUGUGAAGCAAAGCAUACUAGUAUAUUUCACCAUCUCAGGGUACCCCAGUUGAAAAGUUUUAAUCAAGACUCCCUAAACCAUGAUUUCUCAACUUCAGCACUAUUGACUUUGAGGGUAGAUAAUUCUUUGUUGUAGGGGCUGUCCUAUGCAUUGUCAAUGUUUAGCAGCAUUCCUGGCUGACACCCACUAGAUGCUGGUAACAUCCUCCUCACCAGUCAUGACAACAAAAAAUGCAUCCAGACAUUGCCAAUGUCCCCUGGGGAAGAAAAAUCACCCCCAGUGAUGCUCCUCCACUCCUUGUGCAUGAUAUACAUUAAUAUUUCCAUGGAGGUGACUUGCCAAGGUUCAUAACCUUGUCCUUAAGCAAGAAUUUGCAUGUGUGUGUACCUUUAUUUUUUUAAUGAAUUGAACAUUUAUUUAAAAUCAUAUUGUGCUAUUUAUAGUAUUCUUGUCUUGCAUGUUUUACUUAAUCACAUAUCCUCCAGAACUGUGAGAAUUUUGUUUCUGCUAUUAAGCUACCUAGUCUAUGGUAUUUUGUUAUAGAAGUUCAUAUUAACUAAAUACUAACUAAAUCAAUCUCUCUCUUUCUUCAUAAAUUUAUUUUUAAACUAUCUUUAAAAGAAUAUACUGUGAGCAUGAUUUCCAUUCUUAACAUAUUAAACAUUCAUUUUUCACUUUAUAAUGAUAGCAAAACAAAAUUAUCUGAUGUCAUGUUUUUUAAAACUAUAUAAUAAAAUUUUUAUUAUUUAAAAAAUUUAUAUAUACAUAUAUAAGUAAUAUGUAAAAUGAUAUAGCCACUCUGAAAAACAGUUUGGCAAUUUAUUACAAAACUAAGCACGCAAUUACCAUUUGACCCAGAAGUGAUUGUACUAUACCUGGUCACUUAUCCCAGAGAGAUAAACGUAUGCUCCCACAAAAAUCUGUACAUGAAAGUUCACAGCAGCUUCACUGGUGAUAGCCAAAAAAUGAAAACAACCUAGAUAUCCUUCAGUGAGUGAAUGUUUAGAAAGAAAAGAAAGUGGUAUAUUUACUUAUUUUCAUAGUAUAAAAGAUUGUAUUAUGAAAGUUAAUAUUAAAAUAUAUAAAUCCUUG